AUCUAUCUGACAAGUUCCAAAAUAGGACGAAACGUGAGUCCUGGAU
rnacentral:hammerhead_ribozyme from 1 species